rnacentral:rRNA from 1 species
UACGUAGGGGGCAAGCGUUAUCCGGAUUUAUUGGGUUUAAAGGGUGCGUAGGCGGACUGGAAAGUCAGCGGUAAAAUCGAGAGGCUCAACCUCUUUCCGCCGUUGAAACUGUCGGUCUUGAGUGGGCGAGAAGUAUGCGGAAUGCGUGGUGUAGCGGUGAAAUGCUUAGAUAUUGCGCAGAACUCCGAUUGCGAAGGCAGCAUGCCGGCUCCACACUGACGCUGAGGCACGAAAGCGUGGGUAUCGAACAGG